UGGGUAAGCCCUUCANACUGACCCNUUUUCAUCCUGCUGUCGAUUCCCGUGAGAUGUCCGGCGUUGGAUCCAAUUGAACCGCAGCCUCCACCCCUUGUGUGCUCCCCCGCCAAUUCGCUUAAGUUUCAGCCUUGCGGCCGUACUCCCCAGGUGGCCCGUUUAACACCUUCGCUCCGGCACUACAGACCCUCGAAAGGUUUGUAACACCAAACGGGCAUUGUUUACGCCUAGGACUACCGGGGUAUCUAAUCCCGAUCGCUCCCCUAGGUUUCGUCCCUCACCGUCGAACUUGU
rnacentral:rRNA from 1 species